UGAGAGAGGGCAAAUCGGUGUUGCGGCGGAGGGAAGGGCCUAGGGUUCCUUUGUUUUUUUAUUUUUGUUUUUAAGGCUGCUGAGAAUGUUUAGGAGGCUACCGAUUUAGGGUAUUUUGUUUAGCCUUCAUAACGCAAAAAUGGCGUCGUUUAAGGUCUUCUACCAUGGCAUUAAAACGGCACCGUGUAGGCCUGCAACCCAAGUGUGUAACUCGACCCGGGGAGGAUCCGCG
rnacentral:lncRNA from 1 species